rnacentral:lncRNA from 1 species
AAAUUCUGGUUUCUAUUAGUGGCGCCAAUCAAAUUCUGGUUUCUAUUAUUGGGGUUGGUUGGUCCUCAUGGACCGAUCCAUUCAGCUUGAUCUGUGGCCUUCAGGAUAAGUUGCAGCAUAACUAACUGCCUUCCACCCAAUAAAUAUUUUUGUAAACUCUCCGCUUCCUCGAUCGCUUGUACUAAAAACAUAUAUUAUCAAAAUAAAAAUAUGUUCAACAACAUAAUUGAAAGUGUACAUAUAUUUUAAUGUGUAUUUUCAUAAAGAAUUAGACUUUUUUGGACUUUAAUAGCUUAAUACAUACUUAAUUAUAUUUAAAACAAGUCAAAUAUAUAUGUUUGAAUUUU